UUUAACAGUAACACUUUUUUUCUUUAAGUAAUACUUUAAGAUAAGUAAUUUUUUAGAGUAUAAUUUAAGUGUAAUUUUUAAUAUAAUAUUAUGAUUUCUUAUAUACUUUGUAUUAUUUCUUUUAGAAGCAAUAUUUUCAACAAAUUAAACUAAUCUUCCAUCUUGUCAAAAAAUAAAAAUAAAUAUAACAAAAAAAACAUAAACAAAAAAUCAAAGUCAACUUUAAUUAAUUAAUACUAAUGAUAUCAUCGAUCCCGAAAAUGUUUGGCGCUUAAUCAACCGCCAAAGAGACUAAAGUUCUUGAUUUUAUUUUGCUGCUUAGGUUGUUUCAGUUCAACAUACACUGAUGCACGCACCUAGACUCGCUCACCACCACCACACCUGAAUUCGCUCACUACCACGCCUGAAUUCGCUCACCACCAGUCACCAGCGUCGUUCAAUCUUGUCAUUUCAGAGAAUUUAAUCGUCAGGUUCGAUAAUAUCAGGAACUCACCUCACUCCUUAAUUCGCUCAACACCACUCACCGUUUAGAGAAUUUAAGUGGCUAUAUAGAAUUAAGACAUAGGAUACCCUCUAAUGCAAAUGUGUUUACUUCUCUGCUUCAAUCAUCACUUUCUCAGUGGAUAAUUAAGGUAAAUUACUUUUCCAAUUUCUGCUAAUAUUUUGGUGAAAUUCUUGGAAAAGAAUCAAAUAUAUGCUUUUUUUUGGCUUAUAAUUACCUCAGGGAAAGAAAGGAGUUUGGCUUAAAUUACCAUCUGAAUAUUCAGAAUUUGUACCAAUAGCAGUAUAGAGUUAAUAAAGUGGACUUGGAUGACUGGAUUCAUGAUCAAUUGGUUGUCAAGCUAUGUGUUAAUGCCUGCCUAAUUGAUUCAUAUUGGUGAAUGCACUGGAAAAGGCAGCAUUAGAUGAUACAGUUGGAGAAGUAAUGAAGAUGCUCAAGGAACAACUCCCUCCUAAAACUUUUGCUAAUUUGACUCGAUCACACGGCGACGUGUCAUCCGAUUUAGAAAUCACGGAGCAUCCUUCUAAAGAUACGAAUGAACUAGAGCUUCAACAGGAUGGUGGAAAUAAUGGCGGAUUAGAGUAGCAAGCAUGCAUGAUACUUUGAGAAGCAUGCGUACAUGGAUAAUGGAAUUGAAGAAUAAUGAAAAGAAUGACAUUAAGAUUGAUUUAGGUUUAUUUAAGGAUAUAUAUAUAUAUAUAUAU